UCUGCCCGCUGGCGGCGUGCCUAAUACAUGCAAGUCGAGCGAACAGACGAGGAGCUUGCUCCUCUGACGUUAGCGGCGGACGGGUGAGUAACACGUGGAUAACCUACCUAUAAGACUGGGAUAACUUCGGGAAACCGGAGCUAAUACCGGAUAAUAUAUUGAACCGCAUGGUUCAAUAGUGAAAGACGGUUUUGCUGUCACUUAUAGAUGGAUCCGCGCCGCAUUAGCUAGUUGGUAAGGUAACGGCUUACCAAGGCAACGAUGCGUAGCCGACCUGAGAGGGUGAUCGGCCACACUGGAACUGAGACACGGUCCAGACUCCUACGGGAGGCAGCAGUAGGGAAUCUUCCGCAAUGGGCGAAAGCCUGACGGAGCAACGCCGCGUGAGUGAUGAAGGUCUUCGGAUCGUAAAACUCUGUUAUUAGGGAAGAACAAAUGUGUAAGUAACUAUGCACGUCUUGACGGUACCUAAUCAGAAAGCCACGGCUAACUACGUG
rnacentral:rRNA from 1 species